rnacentral:rRNA from 1 species
UACGGGAGGCAGCAGUGAGGAAUAUUGGUCAAUGGCCGAGAGGCUGAACCAGCCAAGUAGCGUGCAGGAUGACGGCCCUAUGGGUUGUAAACUGCUUUUAUACGGGGAUAAAGUGAGGGACGUGUCCCUUUUUGUAGGUACCGUAUGAAUAAGGACCGGCUAAUUCCGUGCCAGCAGCCGCGGUAAU